GGAAUCUUCCGCAAUGGGCGCAAGCCUGACGGAGCAACGCCGCGUGGGUGAGGAAGUUCUUCGGAACGUAAAGCCCUGUUGUACAUGACGAACGUGCUUUCUAUCAACAACGGGAAGCAAUGACGGUAGUGUACGAGGAAGCCACGGCCAACUACGUGCCAGCAGCCGCGGUAAUACGUAGGUGGCAAGCGUUGUCCGGAAUUAUUGGGCGUAAAGCGCAUGUAGGCGGUGCCUUAAGUCUGUCGUGAAACUGCGGGGCCUAACCCCGUAUGGCGAUGGAAACUGUGGCACUUGAGUGCAGGAGAGGAAAGGGGAACUCCCAGUGUAGCGGUGAAAUGCGUAGAUAUUGGGAAGAACACCGGUGGCGAAGGCGGCUGUCUGGUCUGUAACUGACGCUGAGGCUCGAAAGCAUGGGUAGCGAACA
rnacentral:rRNA from 1 species